GACCUUCCGAUUAACAGGCAACCUGCGCUACUUCCUGAGCCACAGCCGCUCCAUGGUGUUUGACAUUUAUUAAAGAUAACGUUAGACAUUCACAGGAAGAGAAACAUUUACUGUAACAACAAGCCACUUUGUGACAAAGUGGUACAUGACAGGUUUUCAUGCAUUGCAUGCACCUCCAAAUACUGCUUUUAAACACUAUAAUAUUCUUUGUGGGGUUCAUCAAUGGUGAUAAAUAAUUUGAAGUAUAUAUGAACGUGAAAGAGUCUUUAAUAUUUUAAUAAACUUAGUAGACGUACCAUUCCUUGACAUUCAGUAAAUGUAUAUGUGGUGAUAAAGGUUCCAUAAUUCGGCAGAUCAAAUUUUGUAGGCUAUCUGCCGAGAUUUGCAUCCACAUAAAUGACCGUUAUCACUCGCGAGGUGGAUGCAAUUCUCGGCAGGCAGGCUGAACAACACCGGCAAUAUUUCUCUCCAACGUGCGCUCACUGUGCAACAAACUGGAUGAACUUCAGCUUCUGUGAUCGGUUCUUGUUGUUCUGAUGCCUCCAUGUCUGCUACACACAACUUAAACUAUGUUGUUAUUCCUGUCUUUGUGGAGGACUCGACACACCAUGCUCAGCUUCUCUAGGGACCCACGGUAACCCCAUCAAGGACCUCUGACCACACUUUGAGAACCACUGCUCUAGGUACUGCUGUUCAGCUUCCAAUUCUGCCAGUUUUAUAUUUCAGCUGCCAGGUUUUUCAGUAGUUCAGUUAAUGCAUUUGAGCUUCAAGAUUCUUCAGGCAAUUCAUUUCACUUUUCUGUAUUUCCAGCAAUGCUGUCAAAAUAAAGUUUGUUCGCAUUUUCUGCACUUUCUGCAAUGUGUUGUCGGAGAACUAGAAAAGCUCUACAAGUACACUCCAUUGACCAUCUUACUGCAAUAUAAAAUAGAUACCCUGAUAUCAUUGAGAUAAUGAAGCAUCUCAGAAGCUGGAUGUGGCAUCUACAUUUAUACAGUACUGCAUAUAUUGUUUUGAACAAUGACACAUUGACUUACUGAUGGAAGUACUGAAGUGUGUUUGGACUGUGAUGUAAACCGUUUGGUUUAGGACAAAAAAUGAACAAACUACAGUACAUAGUCAGUGACUGGGAAUCUUUAAAUUAGUAUUGAAUAUAUUAAAUAUAAGCAGGGGGCCUAGUAUACAGGUCCGUCAUGUGUGGAGGGCCCGAUAAGAUUAGAUUUUCUUUUAGCUUGUUGGCUAAUCUUCUAAUAGCCCAUAUUAAAAACAUUUCAGCAUUCAAUAAUUCAUAAAUAAUUUAUCAUUUAAAGCAUACUUGGAUACACACACAUAUAACAUACACACAUACUGUAAUGCACCUACAUAUAUGCACAUAUUAAUCAACAUGUGUUAUUAUUGUUAUUAUAAUCAUUAACAUUACGAUGGUUACCAUUAACACUAUUAUAAAUAUCUGUACCAUUUUUCAUUUAGUCUAUAGCAACAUCACCUUCA